rnacentral:rRNA from 1 species
UACGGAGGGUGCAAGCGUUAUCCGGAUUCACUGGGUUUAAAGGGUGCGUAGGAGGGCAGGUAAGUCAGUGGUGAAAUCUCCGAGCUUAACUUGGAAACUGCUGUUGAUACUAUCUGUCUUGAAUAUUGUGGAGGUGAGCGGAAUAUGUCAUGUAGCGGUGAAAUGCUUAGAUAUGACAUAGAACACCAAUUGCGAAGGCAGCUCGCUACACAUAUAUUGACUCUGAGGCACGAAAGCGUGGGGAUCAAACAGG